UACGUAGGGGGCAAGCGUUAUCCGGAUUUACUGGGUGUAAAGGGAGCGUAGGCGGCAUGGCAAGCUGGAUGUGAAAGGCCGGGGCUCAACCCCGGGACUGCAUUCGGAACUGCCAGGCUGGAGUGUUGGAGAGGUAAGCGGAAUUCCUAGUGUAGCGGUGAAAUGCGUAGAUAUUAGGAGGAACACCAGUGGCGAAGGCGGCUUACUGGACAAUAACUGACGCUGAGGCUCGAAAGCGUGGGUAGCAA
rnacentral:rRNA from 1 species